rnacentral:rRNA from 1 species
AUUGAACGCUGGCGGCAGGCCUAACACAUGCAAGUCGAACGGUAACAGGAAGCAGCUUGCUGCUUCGCUGACGAGUGGCGGACGGGUGAGUAAUGUCUGGGAAACUGCCUGAUGGAGGGGGAUAACUACUGGAAACGGUAGCUAAUACCGCAUAACGUCGCAAGACCAAAGAGGGGGACCUUAGGGCAUCUUGCAAUCGGAUGUGCCCAGAUGGGAUUAGCUAGUAGGUGGGGUAACGGCUCACCUAGGCGACGAUCCCUAGCUGGUCUGAGGGGAUGACCAGCCACCCUGGAACUGAGACACGGUCCAGACUCCUACGGGAGGCAGCAGUGGGGAAUAUUGCACAAUGGGCGCAAGCCUGAUGCUGCCAUGCCGCGUGUAUGAAGAAGGCCUUCGGGUUGUAAAGUACUUUCAGCGGGGAGGAAGGGAGUAAAGUUAAUACCUUUGCUCAUUGACGUUACCCGCAGAAGAAGCACCGGCUAACUCCGUGCCAGCAGCCGCCGUAACAC